rnacentral:tRNA from 1 species
GUCCCUAUCGUCCAGAGGCCUAGGACACCGGGUUUUCAUCCCGGCGACACGGGUUCGAAUCCCGUUAGGGAUGCCA